AAUAACUUAAAUAAUUUUUUUUAAAUUCGAAUUAUAUUUUUAAUUGUUUGCGCCUUGACUUCUUUCAUAUUCACGCUUCUUCAAAUUAACUAAUUUCCAACUUGUAAAAACUUCAAGUUGGCAACUCUCCGGCAAAACAGUAACUACGAAAGAUACAAAAAAUAAAACAUUUUUCAAUUAAUUGGCGACGAAAAAAGCCACAACAAUCGCUUUAGCAUCUUCUUUUUGGCGCUAUUUUUUAUGCUGACCGUGCUCUUCAUCCACUGCCACCUCACAGUUCGUACCUAUCAGCGCAGAAGGGGAGGCGCCUACGCCCAGUAUAGGGGCAGACCAAUACGACCGCUGCGAACCUUCGCCUGAGCUUUCCUUUGAGAUUUUGAC